UACGAAAGGGGCUAGCGUUGUUCGGAAUUACUGGGCGUAAAGGGCGCGUAGGCGGUGAUCUUUGUCAGAGGUGAAAGCCCCGGGCUCAACCUGGGAACGGCGCGGCGAAACGGGGGGCUGGAGUUCGGGAGAGGAGCGUGGAAUUCCCAGUGUAGAGGUGAAAUUCGUAGAUAUUGGGAAGAACACCGGUGGCGAAGGCGGCGCUCUGGACCGAGACUGACGCUGAGG
rnacentral:rRNA from 1 species